rnacentral:rRNA from 1 species
GACGAACGCUGGCGGCGUGCUUAACACAUGCAAGUCGAACGGUAAGGCCCUUCGGGUUACACGAGUGGCGAACGGGUGAGUAACGCGUGAGUAACCUGCCCUUCACUCUGGGAUAACAGUUGGAAACGGCUGCUAGUACCGUAUAUUCAGCUCCUGUCGCAUGGUGGGGGUUGGAAAGUUUUGGUGGUGGAGGAUGGGCUCGCGUCCUAUCAGCUUGUUGGUGGGGUGAUGGCCUACCAAGGCGUCGACGGGUAGCCGGCCUGAGAGGGCGACCGGCCACAUUGGGACUGAGAUACGGCCCAAACUCCUACGGGAGGCAGCAGUGGGGAAUAUUGCACAAUGGGCGGAAGCCUGAUGCAGCAACGCCGCGUGCGGGAUGACGGCCUUCGGGUUGUAAACCGCUUUCAGCAGGGACGAAGCGCAAGUGACGGUACCUGCAGAAGAAGCACCGGCUAACUACGUG